GAUGAAGAACGCAGCGAAAUGCGAUAAGUAGUGUGAAUUGCAGAAGUACCGUGAAUCAUCGAAUCUUUGAACGCAAAUUGCACUCUCUGGUAUUCCGGGGAGUAUGCCUGUUUGAGGGUCGCUUAACAAACCAUCGAUUUCGUUGCUUUUUUUUUUUAAAAAAGUGAUGUUUAUCGGAUUUGAGCCGUCUUUUUUUUUUUAUUUAAGUGGCUUAAAAUUGAUUUUUUUGGUACGAUCGAAGCGUAUUUUUAUGAUCAAUUUUUGGUUAAAGAAACGCACACGUACCGUUAUUUAUAUGAUGUAAUACGUUUGACUAUUGGAUUUAGUUCAUUCGUAUACGAUAUUUUUCAAUAUUUGACCUCAAAUCAGGUAAGAACACCCGCUGAACUUAAGCAUAUCAAUAAGCGGAGGA
rnacentral:misc_RNA from 1 species